UACGGAGGGUGCAAGCGUUAUCCGGAUUCACUGGGUUUAAAGGGUGCGUAGGUGGGUCUGUAAGUCAGUGGUGAAAUCUCCGGGCUUAACCUGGAAACUGCCGUUGAUACUAUAGCUCUUGAAUUUUCUGGAGGUAAGCGGAAUAUGUCAUGUAGCGGUGAAAUGCUUAGAUAUGACAUAGAACACCAAUUGCGAAGGCAGCUUGCUACAGGAAUAUUAACACUGAGGCACGAAAGCGUGGGGAUCAAACAGG
rnacentral:rRNA from 1 species